rnacentral:rRNA from 1 species
AGAGUUUGAUCCUGGCUCAGAUUGAACGCUGGCGGCAUGCCUAACACAUGCAAGUCGAACGGGGUAGCAAUACCCAGUGGCGGACGGGUGAGGAAUACAUAGGAAUCUGCCCUUAAGUGGGGGAUAGCCCGGGGAAACCCGGAUUAAUACCGCAUGAUCUCGCAAGAGCAAAGUCGGGGACCGCAAGGCCUGGCGCUUUUGGAGGAGCCUAUGUCUGAUUAGCUAGUUGGUGAGGUAACGGCUCACCAAGGCAACGAGCAGUAACUGGUCUGAGAGGAUGAUCAGUCACACCGGAACUGAGACACGGUCCGGACUCCUACGGGAGGCAGCAGGGGGGAAUAUUGGACAAUGGGCGAAAGCCUGAUCCAGCAAUGCCGCGUGUGUGAAGAAGGCCUUCGGGUUGUAAAGCACUUUAGGCUGGAAAGAAAAAGCUUUCCCUAAUACGGAAAGCCUUGACGGUACCAGCAGAAUAAGCACCGGCUAGCUCUGUGCCAGCAGCCGCGGUAAUAC